GAUGUUCUUUCAGGGUCAGAGCUUGAACAUCAGCAGCACAAAAUGUCUCUCAAUAGCUCCUAAGCCCGAAGUCCAAAGCUUUUCUGAUUCCUGGAAGUUUUGAGAGAACUGCUCAACAACAAAACCAGUACUCUGGAGCAGAGCUGUGCUAUUACCUGCCAUAAAAUGAACAUAUGGAAAGUGCUUAAGUGAAUGCUUAGCCCUUUACUGGAUCACAAAACUGGCCAAUCAAUGGAGAUUCUUUUCCCCUAAAGUCUUGGAGAAGAAAACCAUUACAUUGUGCCUACUAGUGUCAGAUGACUGAUGGUACAGUCGGUUGGACUGAGAAAUGGUCUCCAUCCUUUCCGCACUCCAUGAG